rnacentral:rRNA from 1 species
UACAGAGGGUGCGAGCGUUAAUCGGAAUUACUGGGCGUAAAGCGCACGUAGGCGGCUUGGUAUGUCGGGUGUGAAAUCCCCGGGCUCAACCUGGGAACUGCAUCCGAAACUGCCUUGCUCGAGUAUGGGAGAGGGAAGUGGAAUUUCCGGUGUAGCGGUGAAAUGCGUAGAUAUCGGAAGGAACACCUGUGGCGAAAGCGGCUCACUGGACCACAACUGACGCUGAGGCGCGAAAGCUAGGGGAGCAAACAGGG